GGGGAGAUGCCAGAGUGGUCGAAUGGGGCCGCCUGCUAAGCGGUUAUACGGGGGUAACCUUGUAUCGCAGGUUCGAAUCCUGUUCUCCCCG
rnacentral:tRNA from 1 species